rnacentral:rRNA from 1 species
CCUACGGGUGGCAGCAGUGGGGAAUAUUGCACAAUGGGGGAAACCCUGAUGCAGCGACGCCGCGUGAAGGAAGAAGGAUUUCGGUAUGUAAACUACUAUCAGCAGGGAAGAAAAUGACGGUACCUGACUAAGAAGCUCCGGCGAAAUACGUGCGAGCAGCCGCGGUAAUACGUAGGGGGCAAGCGUUAUCCGGAUUUACUGGGUGUAAAGGGAGCGUAGGCGGUGUUGCAAGUCAGAAGGGAAAGCCCGGAGCUCAACGUCGGGACUGCUUUUGAAACUGUAUGACUAGAUUGCAGGAGAGGGAAGUGGAAUUCCUAGUGUAGCGGUGAAAUGCGUAGAUAUUAGGAGGAACACCAGUGGCGAAGGCGGCUUACUGGACUGUAAAUGACGCUGAGGCUCGAAAGCGUGGGGAGCAAACAGGAUUAGAUACCCUUGUAGUC